AGCAGCCGCGGUAAUUCCAGCUCCAAUAGCGUAUAUUAAAGUUGCUGCAGUUAAAAAGCUCGUAGUUGAAUUUCGGGACCAAUAUGUCGGUCGUGCCUCGGUACGUAUUGGCAUCGUUGGUUUCUCCCUUCUGACGAACCAUGAUGUCAUUUAUUUGGUGUCGUGGGGAAUCAGGACUGUUACUUUGAAAAAUUAGAGUGUUUAAAGCAGGCUCACGCUUGAAUACAUUAGCAUGGAAUAAUGAAAUAGGACGUUUGAUCCUAUUUUGUUGGUUUCUAGGAUCGACGUAAUGAUUAAUAGGGAUAGUUGGGGGCAUUAGUAUUCAAUUGUCAGAGGUGAAAUUCUUGGAUUUUAUUGAAGACUAACUACUGCGAAAGCA
rnacentral:rRNA from 1 species